GGGUCGGACGGUAUAUUUGAUCGAUAAAUCCGCGGUCACACUGAUCUCAAUUGCGGAACAUAAGGCCGUUUUGAAGCCCAACUGUGGCCCACAACUCCGCCCUGCCUCAGCCAGACCACCAGAUCGGCCAGGUGGAUCUUAGCCGACCAGAUCUUAGCCCGAAUCUGAAGAAAACCAAGCUGGAUGAGGCCUCGACGGCGGGGUUGAUGCAAGCACAUAAACGGAUCAGGGCGUGGUGUCUAUGAUGAGCUUCCAUCUGCGUCGCAAAAAGGGACUGGAACAAACCCUGGCGGCCAAGCUUACACCAAAGGCGUACGUCAAGGAGACUCAUGCCGUGCCCGGGCUGCCGGAGCUGCUGGAUCCUGCAUUCCCAACAAGACACGUCUGGACAGAUUAUGCGCCACUACGGCAGUGCAAGGGCAUCCGCCAGUUGCAGGCUUUGUACGUGUCCCACCUGCACGCGGAUCAUCACAUUGGAUUGAUUGGACUGCUGAAGGAGCGCAGAUAGCUGGCCCCGAAGGAAACUCGCUGCUCUUACUUGCGCCGCGGCAGAUCGAGCCAUGGAUGGAGUUCUAACAAGGAUAGCUCUUGGCGAGACUCCUGACUGGAGAGGCAGUGGCACCAUUGGGCAUAACUGCCGCCACUGCCAAGUCACCAGUAGGAACUGCCAAGCCGCCAGUGCGAACAGCUGCUUAAAAUCUUGCGAGACGCUUGGCGAUGCUGUGGAUGAUCGAGUUCAGCCCAACAAUCAACCUUUGCGGAAUGAGAGGAGCAGCAGCAAGGCAAGAAGACAACUGGCUCCAAAGGAAACUCGCUGCUCAUACUUGCACCGCGGCAGAUUGAGCCAUGGAUGGAGUUCUAACACGGAUAGCUCUUGGCGAGACUCCUGACUGGAGAGGCAGUAACUUUGGGCAUAACUGCCGCCACUACCAAGUCACCAGUACGAACUGCCAAGCCGCCAGUACGAACAGCUGCUUAAAAUCUUGCGAGGCGUUUGGCGAUGCUGUGGAUGAUCGAGUUCAGCCCAACAAUCAACCGUUGCGGAAUGAGAGGAGCAGCAGCAAGGCAAGAAGGAUGCCGAUCAGGAUUUUUACUAAAACCAGGAGAGUUCGGCUAACUCGUCGCAGUCCUCGGUGGGCAUUGAUGACUAUUGGGAUGAAGCUCUGGUUGGCGACUAUGGAAGCACUCAGAAUGAUGACAGCGAUGACUUGGACGGGCACAACAACUAGCCACCUAUCGAUGGGCAGCAAGGAAAAGAACCCGGCCGCAACGAGUUGCGUUACUAUUGGCGAUCAUGAGGUCAUGGACUGCAAAGAACAAUUCGACAAGCAGCAACAUUACUUGGGCCGAGCAGGGCAGUAAAUGUAAAAGUUGUACAGCACUAUCUUUAAAGCGUGCUCCGGCGGUCUUAAGCCUUCUGCACCAUGUUUUACAUCAUCGGUUUCGACCGGGAGCGCAGACAGCUGGCCCCGAAGGAAACUCGCUGCUCUUACUUGCGCCGCGGCAGAUCGAGCCAUGGAUGGAGUUCUAACACGGAUAGCUCUUGGCGAGACUCCUGACUGCAGAGGCAGUGGCACCAUUGGGCGUAACUGCCGCCACUGCCAAGUCACCAGUAGGAACUGCGAAGCCGCCAGUACGAACAGCUGCUUAAAAUCUUGCGAGACGCUUGGCGAUGCUGUGGAUGAUCAAGUUCAGCCCAACAAUCAACAGUUGCGGAAUGAGAGGAGCAGCAACAGGACAAGAAGGAUGCCGAUCAGGAUUUCUACUAAAACCAGGACAGUUCGGCUAACUCGUCGCAGUCCUCGGUGGGCAUUGAUGACUAUUGGGAUGAAGCUCUGGUCGGCGACUAUGGAAGCACUCAGAAUGAUGACAGCGAUGACUUGGACGGGCACAACAACUAGCCACCUAUCGAUGGGCAGCAAGGAGAAGAACCCGGCCGCAACGAGUUGCGUUACUAUUGGCGAUCAUGAGGUCAUGGACUGCAAAGAACAAUUCGACAAGCAGCAACAUUACUUGGGCCGAGCAGGGCAGUAAAUGUGAAAGUUGUACAGCACUAUCUUAAAAGCGUGCUCCGGCGGUCUUAAGCCUUCUGCACCAUGUUUUACAUCAUCGGUUUCGACCGGAUCCAGUGGCCUAAAAAGUGCUAUAGAGCGAUCCUCUCUUACCCCACCAGGAGGUCACCCCCUCCGGUGGCCAUGAAUACCUUUUGCAUGACCGCGAAUACCGAAUUACCCACCAUCGUUUAACUGGGGCUUCACACUUCAGGUCCUCCGGUUUAGCUGAACGAGUGGGCGCUCGAUGGCGGCUGUCCACUCCAGGCGCCUACCGGCUGACAUCGCGAGCUCCCCACCGGCUCUUGGGACAUGACUUACAUCGCGCGAGCUGUGGCCUCUAGCCUGGACGACCUUUGGGUCCUCUCGGGAUGUGUAAGGGAUGUGCUCCUGGCUGGACUGUGGCAGGCACUGUCUGUCCUCCUGCGGGCCAAAGCCAUGAUGCCACUACUGUGUCGCUGAAUCGACAAUGUGGCGUCCCGUCCGCUGCAGCAGGGACCACUGAUCGACUUCAGAAUUGUGGGUUCACGCCCACGGUAAUCAAACGCUGGUCUUCAGCCUCGAGGCGCAGGGCUUAUGUACCAUAUCCAAGCAUUGCCGAAUCGUAUCCCAGCAGGACAAAAGCGCACCCCUUGGAAGAGCCCAAAUCUAACAAGCCGACGUCACAUUUCGACCUGGCCAUUGAAAACUAUCUCAAGGACUUUGGCUAUGGCAACCAAGGGAGGGAUACGCGGACUACCAGACUAUAGAUAGAUCUCGUUGUUAAUAGGUUUAAGGAUACACACGUCUGUACAUUUAGAUAGUAGAUAUAAAUAUUUCCAAAUUGUUAAUUUCUUUAUAGUAAGUUAACGUUAUUAUGAAUAAAACUAUUGAAAAAUUA
rnacentral:sRNA from 1 species